AACGAACGCUGGCGGCAGGCUUAACACAUGCAAGUCGAGCGCCCCGCAAGGGGAGCGGCAGACGGGUGAGUAACGCGUGGGAACGUGCCCUUUGGUUCGGAACAACUCCGGGAAACUGGAGCUAAUACCGGAUAAGCCCUUCGGGGGAAAGAUUUAUCGCCAAAGGAUCGGCCCGCGUCUGAUUAGCUAGUUGGUGAGGUAAUGGCUCACCAAGGCGACGAUCAGUAGCUGGUCUGAGAGGAUGAUCAGCCACACUGGGACUGAGACACGGCCCAGACUCCUACGGGAGGCAGCAGUGGGGAAUAUUGGACAAUGGGCGCAAGCCUGAUCCAGCCAUGCCGCGUGAGUGAUGAAGGCCUUAGGGUUGUAAAGCUCUUUUGUCCGGGAAGAUAAUGACUGUACCGGAAGAAUAAGCCCCGGCUAACUUCGUGCCAGCCGCCGCCGUAACAC
rnacentral:rRNA from 1 species